AUUCUUGUCCCACCUGCCCCUCCCUCGUUACAAACAGACAAUUCUCUCCUCCCAGAAUACGAGGACAUUUCUAACACCUCUUUGAAUGGGAUCAGUUGGUGUUUUGGCUUCUCGAGAGUUUUUGUUUUUGCUUUUCACCUGUGAAAGUAGCUAAUGACCCUUUUGUUUGGAUGCUUUAGAUACAUCCAUGCCUCAUGCAAAAACUAUCCAACGACGUCGGGUUUUGUAUUUCAGAGCCUGCUUCAUGCUCCCUUGAAAAUGCCCUGCCCUGAGACUGAGAGUACAAGUCUUAUGAAUAUUUUUGUUUUUUUUUUCAAAGUUUAUUUCAUUGUGCAGUAAAAUAAAUACAUAAAUUAAAUCACAGCGUAGCAUUGUUAGUUGUGAAUUUUUUUACAACAUCCCCAGAACCCUGCUUCUACUCCUGUUUCGCACUUCCGCUCUUCCAGUUCAACCAAACACGGUGGCUCUCCACCAAAUCAAAUGCCACUCUUCUCCCACCGCUACAUCUCAUCCUCUCCUCCGCCAUCCCAACCACCAACAAUCCCAAAACCUCAAAACCCAACUUUAUCCCUCCCUCAACCCGUUACCCUCUACCUUUUCUAGUCUUUUCACUGAUAUCUCUUCUCACUGGCCUUUCUGGGAUCGCUAUCUCGGAUCUGCAGGCUCAAACCUGUUCCAGUUUUUCGUUGUGGCAAAUCUGAGGACACUUUUCGAGCAUUUUAUUCUGGUUCGGGUAGACGGAGCAUUGAUUGACAGGCCUAAACUUCUUGGGUUUGUUGGGACUCAAACCGGGUUUGAAUCCGGUGAUCGCCGGGCUGCACUUAGAAGUACUUGGUUUCCUUGUGACCCAGAUGGAAUUUUGAGGUAAAACCAUGACUUUUGCGUAGAAAGUCGAGAGCUUUGAGAGAAACUUGCUGGCAAAUGGCAAUGAUGACCAAUGAUAAUCCCAGCUCUAUGAGAUCUUCAUUUGGAAGGUCAAGGACUACAUGUUAUCAAUUUCUAUCUGAGCCGAUAACAUUGUUUGAGUAAGAUCAUUAUUUUUUUUACUCAAAUAUAAUUUGGUUAUAUUGUUUCUUCAUCUAUUUCUCCCUUUAUUUCUUUUAUUCUGCUGUGACUCUUUGCUUUAAAAUUUGGUUUUUUACGAACUGAUCAUGCACUGAUCAUAUUGAAAAGGCCAAGUUCACUGCUGCUCUAUGGCAAGUUGGAGCAAGCUACUGGUUUAUCAUUUAGGUUCCUAAUAGGACGUUCAAAAGAUGCAAAGAAAAUGGCCCUGCUUGAGAAAGAGGUGGAUAAGUACAAAGAUUUCAUGUUCAUAGAUGUUGAGGAAGAAUAUCUAAAGCUCCCAUACAAAGCAUAACAGUUCCUUUUUCCACCUUAAGUUUUCUAAUACCUUUCUUCUGUCAUUAGGUUGGCCUAUUUCAAAACAGCCUUUCAGCUUUUUGAAGCAGAUUAUUAUGUCAAAGCUGAUGAUGAUAUCUAUUUGCGUCCAGGUAUAUAGUAGCAUAUGUAAUGAUUUAUUAGUGAGAUAACUGCGAUUAAUUAACAUUAAUAUUUCUGCUAUGUUUGAUUGCCUUGCAACUCUUCUUGCUAAGGAAAUAAUCCAUUCACCAACUUAUAUCUGAUGCAUGAAGAAAGGACCAGUUAUCACUGACCCUCAUAAGAAGUGGUAUGAGAAAUCUGGACAUCUGAUUGGAAAAGAGUACUUCUUGCAUGCUUAUGGACCCAUAUAUGUUCCUUCUGCAGAGGUUGUGGCUUCAUUGGCUGCUGCUAGAAAUAACAGCUUUCAGUUUGAGAAUGUUCAGCAAUGAGGAUGUCACCAUUGGAUCGUGGAUGGUUGCUAUGAAUGUUCAUCAUGAAGACAACCGAGAAAUAUGUGAUCCCCGAAGCACUCCAACAUCUAUAGCAGUUUGGGAUAUUCCUAAAUGUUCUAGUAAUAGUACCUUGAAUUCCUAUAGAUUUUUCCUUUUGCAUAUAAGCAAUAGGCCAAACACGUUCUCUUGAUUUCCUUCUCAGCCCAUUGAAUUCUUAUUGUGAAGAAGUUAAGAUUAUACAAUCAAUAUGUUGUUUCUUGAGCUAGUAUGCGGGAAUACUUGAAGCACACAUUAAAACAAACCGAUAUCAUUUCUAUGUAGUUGUAUGCUCUAAAGAUUUCUUUUAAUUGUAAUCAGUCAUGCAUUUAACUGUA